UACGAAGGGGGCUAGCGUUGCUCGGAAUUACUGGGCGUAAAGCGCACGUAGGCGGCUCUUUAAGUCGGGGGUGAAAUCCUGGAGCUCAACUCCAGAACUGCCUUCGAUACUGAAGAGCUUGAGUUCGGGAGAGGUGAGUGGAACUGCGAGUGUAGAGGUGAAAUUCGUAGAUAUUCGCAAGAACACCAGUGGCGAAGGCGGCUCACUGGCCCGAUACUGACGCUGAGGCACGAAAGCGUGGGGAGCAAACAGGG
rnacentral:rRNA from 1 species